rnacentral:tRNA from 1 species
GGGCGGUUAGCUCAGUUGGCUAGAGCACCAGCUCGACACGCUGGGGGUCGUAGGUUCAAGUCCUAUACCGCCCA